rnacentral:lncRNA from 1 species
AAUGGUUAGUCCCGUAACUAUAUUCUAAUAUAAGUAAUACUCGUAGGCAUCCGUAGAUGCUCAUCAACCACUGGUGCUAAUCAGCUGGGCUUCGGAAUGGUUAGUCCCUUCUAGAUAUCCCGUUGAACUGGGAUAGGCAGGACAAUUUAGACAGAAGGUACUAAUAAAUCAUCCUAAUGAAUCGAGGUACAAGUAUCCAUGUAAAUGUAUACAGGAAGAUGUAUCUACGUAAAGGUUCUCAUGUAAUGUAUUCAUGUAAGGUACUCAUGUAAUGUAUUCAUGUAAGGUUCUCAUGUAAUGUAUUCAUGUAAGGUACUCAUGUAAUGUAUUCAUGUAAGGUUCUCAUGUAAUGUAUUCAUGUAAGGUACUCAUGUAAUGUAUUCAUGUAAGGUUCUCAUGUAAUGUAUAGUGUAGACUCAUGAAUGAACUGACUCUGAUGUAAUUCCUUGUAAUAGGAAUAAUGUUAUGUAUCUCCUAACUAUCCCUAUAAUAGUU